rnacentral:rRNA from 1 species
GACAGAGGGUGCAAGCGUUGUUCGGAAUCAUUGGGCGUAAAGCGUGCGCAGGUGGUCUUGUAAGUUGGAUGUGAAAGCCCCGGGCUCAACUCGGGAAGUGCAUUCAAAACUACAAAACUUGAGUAAGGAAGAGGGUCGUGGAAUUCCUGGUGUAGUGGUGAAAUACGUAGAUAUUGGGAAGAACACCGGUGGCGAAGGCGGCGACCUGGUCCUUGACUGACGCUGAGGCGCGAAAGCGUGGGGAGCAAACAGG